rnacentral:snoRNA from 1 species
CAGGUAUACAAUAUAGUGAUAUAAAAUUCUACGCUUACUUGGCUGGCCGAUGAACUCACAAGUGUAGGUAGUGUGCUACAUGAGGAGCAAGUCUUUUCGCUAACACCACAAGGGUCUCUGGCCCAAUGAGUGGAGUUUGAUAGUAAUUCUUGCUACAAGU